AGAAUCAACGCUGGCGGCGUGCCUAACACAUGCAAGUCGCACGAGAAAGGGACUUCGGUCCUGAGUAAAGUGGCGCACGGGUGAGUAACACGUGAAUCAUCUACCUCCGAAUGGGGAAUAACUGAGAGAAAUCUUAGCUAAUACCGCAUAAUACCUACGGGUCAAAGCAGCAAUGCGUUUGGAGAGGAGGUUCGCGGUCGAUUAGUUAGUUGGCGGGGUAAUGGCCCACCAAGACGAUGAUCGAUAUCCGGCCUGAGAGGGCGCACGGACACACUGGAACUGAAACACGGUCCAGACUCCUACGGGAGGCAGCAGUGGGGAAUUUUGCGCAAUGGGGGAAACCCUGACGCAGCAACGCCGCGUGGAGGAUGAAAUAUCUUGGUAUGUAAACUCCUUUCGAUGGGGAAGAUAAUGACGGUACCCAUAGAAGAAGCCCCGGCUAACUUCGUGCCAGCAGCCGC
rnacentral:rRNA from 1 species